rnacentral:tRNA from 1 species
GCCACCCUAGCUCAGUUGGUAGAGCACCUGUUUUGUAAACAGGUUGUCCAGGGUUCGAUUCCCUGGGGUGGCU